UACGUAGGGGGCAAGCGUUGUCCGGAUUUAUUGGGCGUAAAGAGCGUGUAGGCGGCCAGGUAGGUCCGCUGUGAAAACUCGAGGCUCAACCUCGAGAUGUCGGCGGAAACCAUCUGGCUAGAGUCCGGAAGAGGAGAGUGGAAUUCCUGGUGUAGCGGUGAAAUGCGCAGAUAUCAGGAAGAACACCCGUGGCGAAGGCGGCGCUCUGGGACGGUACUGACGCUGAGACGCGAAAGCGUGGGGAGCGAACAGG
rnacentral:rRNA from 1 species